rnacentral:lncRNA from 1 species
GGACGGUGUACGUGGCCUGGAUCCACUGGACAAAGAGAUGAUUCACGUCCUGGGCAGUACUGAACAGGAUGGUGCGAGAUUUCAUCACCCUACUCAGAACAGCUGGCAAUUUAAAACCUACGAAUUGUUUAUUUCUGGAAUUUUCCAUUUAAUAUUUUUGGACCACGGUUGACAGCAGGUAACUGAAACUGCAGAAAGCAAAACCACAGAUAAGGGGGGACUACUGUAUUUAUCUCUUGGCUCUGCUUUCCUCUGUGUUGACGUCAUUCCAAGGCAGAUUCUACCCACGUGGUAAGAAAGAUGACCGCCAGCAGCUCUGGAAUUUUAUCUCCCUUGCAGAGACCACUCCCCCUCAGCAUCCCUAUCAGUCUCUGAAAAAGGUUUCUGUCUGGCCCGAUGGGUCACAUGUCACCCUGUGCUGGGAGUGGUGUUGCAGGUGCCUAACUGACUGACCCUGCAGAAUGACACAGAAUGCAAGAGUAGUAAAUCCUAAAAGGGAAGAAAAAUCUGAGUCAGACGAAAGAGCAAGCAACACCUCCUGCUUAGGUCUUACUCUCAUGGAAUGAAAAUGUUUUUCUCUGUGAUAUGCAAUUGGCAUCAUAAUGUAUCUGUACACAAAUCACCUAAAACUAUGACAGGUAUGACAGGUAUUUCAAUGUGUUUAAAGGAAGUUUCCCUGUUACACACACACACACUGACUCCAGCAAAAGUGUUAACUUAAAAUUCAUUUGAAAGGGUGCUGGGUAAGCAUUUUCACAGACUGGAAGGCAAGCGUGACUUUCCCAGAUAUCAGAUCAGGUCAUUCUUUGUUCUUGAAGGACUGUUUGUAAGCUGUAAGAGAAACACUCCUUGGCUGGAAGAAGAGAUGGGAGUUGGUUUGGGGGCUGUCUUGCUCACGGGCUAUUUUUUAGACACUAAGCUCUUUCUUCGGCUUAGGACACAGAAGCAGGCUUUGCAUGGAAUGAAUGAAACACAAAUGAAUUUCCUAAAGGGGGAAAAAAAUCAAAGCCUCUGGAUCUUGAUAUACAGUGUGGAGAGUACAGGAAAUGUGGUCAUUACCUUUGAAGGAGAACGAAAUCCAACCAGCCAGCUUUCAAUCACGAAGCAACGAACUGUCCUGGCAUGAGUUACCCAAAUCCUUCCCCUCGCUGACCGCUUUGUACAAUUACAUCACCCUGAGGACAGCACGGGAGAGGGAAAAACGUAAGGUUUUAAAACAUCAGCUUGGGGAGUGAGGAAGCAAAUCCACCAGCAAAAGGGAGUUGCGGGCAGAGGAUUUAAAGCUAUCCUCAGGCCUCUGAUCUUUCCAUUACUUCGGAGAUUGCGAAUAUAUCUCCUGGGAGCCUUCUUGCCCUUAUUAGGAAAGGAGAAGGCCCCAGGACUGGAGGGUGAUGGAGACCAGAGGUUGUGAUAUUUAAAGGAAAUAAAUCCUUGCAGAAAAGAAGGCA